rnacentral:rRNA from 1 species
ACUCCUACGGGAGGCAGCAGUAGGGAAUCUUCCACAAUGGACGAAAGUCUGAUGGAGCAACGCCGCGUGAGUGAAGAAGGGUUUCGGCUCGUAAAAACUCUGUUGUUAAAAGAAGAACAUAUCUGAGAGUAACUGUUCAGGUAUUGACGGUAUUUAACCAGAAAGCCACGGCUAACUACGUGCCAGCAGCCGCGGUAAUACGUAGGUGGCAAGCGUUGUCCGGAUUUAUUGGGGCGUAAAGCGAGCGCAGGCGGUUUUCUAAGUCUGAUGUGAAAGCCUUCGGCUUAACCGGAGAAGUGCAUCGGAAACUGGAUAACUUGAGUGCAGAAGAGGGUAGUGGAACUCCAUGUGUAGCGGUGGAAUGCGUAGAUAUAUGGAAGAACACCAGUGGCGAAGGCGGCUACCUGGUCUGCAACUGACGCUGAGACUCGAAAGCAUGGGUAGCGAACAGGAUUAGAUACCCUGGUAGGAUAGCG